ACUCUCUCACUCCGUAUCUCUCUCUCACUCACACACGAAAAAAAUCAACCCUAGAUUUGGGACUAACCUUAACCUCAUCGGCCACCGUCUCUCUCGCGAGCGCUCUCCGUCUCUUUCUUUGUCUCUCUCUCGACUCGUCUCUGUCAUGCUCGCUCUCUCAGUCACCUCUUUAAGUCUCUUAGAGUCGAGAGACUCAUUCUCUCUCUUCAAACCUAACCAAACAUCAUCCAAUUUCAUUGGUUUUUGGAGCGAAUCCUUGCAAAUUAUGGAGGGCUCUGGUUCAUUCUAAGUUGUUGUGCUUAGUCUCUGUGGGUUUGGAUUAAUAGGCAAAAUUGAAGGAACUUUAAGGAGAUGGGCUCUGCCUCUUGUUGUUUCGCUCUCCAAAAUUGAUGCGGAUAGAGAGUUGAGGGGAGGAGGGUACUUGUGGCUGGACCCUUUUUUCAGCAAAGGGGCGGAUCUUAGAGAAGCUUGUUUCUGCAGGUAUUGGGAGUCGCCCUGUUGUUUUCGUGACUCACAGGUCUGUAAAGUGUUGCUUGUGCGUGCAUGAACCUGUCGCCGCUUGUGUGUCAAUUUUGGUUUUCUCAUACAUUAGUCAUCAUAUGUCUUAAGUUUUGUAUGUUGUUGUCUUUCGUGUGUUUAGAUGAUACUCGUCUUUUCAUGAAUCUGUUGCAUCUUCUUUCCAGUUUUGGGUUCUAGCCUUUGACUGAUUUAAGGAUGUCUGAGAGGUCUUGUGUGCUGUUAUAAAGUUUUCCGAUAUCCCCAAAAAAAUGAAAACUAAACGAAGCAAUAUUAUUAUUUAUUUUGGCAUUCUCUACUAAUGUGCUUCGUCUUGCUUUCAGAUAGGCGUCGGCAGUUCAUCCUUCAAGAUGUUCUCCACUUUAUUCUAUUAUUUGUUUGCCAUACUAUGUGACCCUUUUAUGUAAUGGGCUGGGAUCAGUUAUUUUAUGGUAGCUAUUCGCAAGGGGGGGAAUUUGAACUGGCAUUUAUUCUCUAGCUAUGAGUUUCAUGAGUAGAUUAUACAAGGUGGCCUCAAAAGUUGAGCAGGUGUCGGGUUUUGAUUUUUUUGUUUUGGUUAAAUGCUAUUUGUUUUGUUUUGGUUAAGUGUGUGUGUAAUCUGUUUUUAGUGUCUUGAAUCUACAUUUUUUUGCAGCUCCCUUAACCGAUACAAGUGAAUCUGUUAUGAUCAUUUUAGCUUCAAUGGGAGAAUUAGGGAGCAAAACGUCCACCACAAGCUUGAAUAAUACUCCUCCCUCCUUAGUAUGAUGAGGAUAUGUUGGUUCUUUUAUUUUUGCAGGUGUUGGAUUUUGAAUAAUACUCCUCCUCCCUCCUUUGUAUUAAGGCUUUUUGUUAAAUCUUCAAGUGUUGUUAUGCAGGGUUCUUUCUUAAGCCUUUUGGAUGGAUGCAACUGCUGUUUUGUAUUUUGUAUCUUUAUAUGCAUUUUUAUUAUGAAUUGUAAGAUGUUAUAUUUGUUUCGUUGGCUGAUGAUUGUAUUAAUUUGUGAUGGAUCUAGUUGUUUAAACACUUAGCUUAUAAUUUAGAAUGAUGGAUGAUUAUAAUUUAGAAUGACGUAUGAAUUAUACUUGAAUA